UUUGGCUAGGGCCAGCCUCCCCCCGUCUCAGCCCCUCUCCCUCCUUUUAGGAAGGAUUCUGGUUCUCUCUGAAUAGGCAGCCCCGCUACUUCCGUAGCCUGCUCUCCAUCUUCCACAACUUCAUUUGCUCAUUCACUCAACAAGCUCCGAUUGAGGGAGGCCCUGAGCAGCCGCUCAGAUAGAAGUAUUCAGGAGAAGGGCCUACCACUCAGCAAGUGUAGAAUAAAUCCUUGUUGAUGGCCCAGGACUGCAGAGAGCUGAGCCUGGCAAUAUAAAGGCUGACCACAAGGAACACUGCUGGCCCCAGUGCCACCCAGGACUGCAAGCGAGGACAAAGAACCCCUGAAAUCCUUGGUUAAGAAUCCCGGCCUCAGGCUCAUGAGAAAGAAUGCUAGAGAAAGAACUGUGGGAGUGGACACGCAGAAGACAUCGCUUGGUUCCAUGGAUAUAUGAUUGCAGGUUAUGGCUUUAAAAGAUCACUCCAUUACAAAAAUGGAAAAUAUGGAAAUAGGUAUUGAGCGAUAAUCCACGUAUAACCCAGGGGAAUUUCUUGUCGGCUCUGGGAGUAGGGAGGGAAGAGGGGAAAUAUUUAAAAAAUAAAAAUUUUA
rnacentral:lncRNA from 1 species